rnacentral:misc_RNA from 1 species
GGUCACACAGCAGGUAAUUGCUAUAAAUCGUUGAAAAGUUCCCUCGACUAUCUUUCGUCUCCAUCAUUAGACUUUAAUGGCACUUGUAACUCAUAUAGGUGCAAAGUUCUCAUCAAUAGAAACGAAUUAAGUUCAAACAGCAGGUAAUAGCUAUAAGUCGUUGAAGAGUUCCCUCGACUAUCUUUCGUCUCCAUCAUCAAACUGAAAUGGCACUUAUAACUCAUAUAUAUGCAAAGUUCUCAUCAAUAGAAACGAAUUAAGUUCAAACAGCAGGUAAUUGCUAUAAGUCGUUGAAGAGUACCCUCGACUAUCUUUCGUCUCCAUCAUCAGACUGACUUUUGCUAUUCAUUUUACAUAGUAAAUUUAAAAUAGUAUAAGCCAAUGGAAUGCCACGCCCUCCAUACGUACAACUAAUUAAAUGUUGAAGAGCACUUUUUGAGUCACUAAAGAUUACAAAAGUUUUCUCAUAUAAUGAUUCAAUAUAAGACAAAGCUUCCAAAAUAGCAAAUAAUUCAGCGUACAUUACCGAAGUUAUACAAUUAAUCUUAAAUUUAGCGAAAGAGUCUAAUUGUGGAUCAUAAAAAGCUGCUCCUAUGUAAUCGUUUUCCUUGGAGCCAUCGGUAUAUAUUUGAUAGAAGCCAGAGUACAUAGAAGAUAUAUACUGUUCACUUAUACAUUUUAUCGAAUUUAAACUAUAACGUUUCUUCGCGUGUUUUAAAUUAUUAACGGUAGUUCUAAUCACAGGAGAUAAAUCCAUACUGCCUAUCCAUGUAUCCAACGAGAACAUACCCAGGACUGUACUAUUUUGAAUUGGUAACU